rnacentral:rRNA from 1 species
GAUGAACGCUGGCGGCGUGCCUAAUACAUGCAAGUCGAGCGAACAGACGAGGAGCUUGCUCCUCUGACGUUAGCGGCGGACGGGUGAGUAACACGUGGAUAACCUACCUAUAAGACUGGGAUAACUUCGGGAAACCGGAGCUAAUACCGGAUAACAUGUUGAACCGCAUGGUUCAACAGUGAAAGACGGUUUUGCUGUCACUUAUAGAUGGAUCCGCGCCGCAUUAGCUAGUUGGUAAGGUAACGGCUUACCAAGGCAACGAUGCGUAGCCGACCUGAGAGGGUGAUCGGCCACACUGGAACUGAGACACGGUCCAGACUCCUACGGGAGGCAGCAGUAGGGAAUCUUCCGCAAUGGGCGAAAGCCUGACGGAGCAACGCCGCGUGAGUGAAGAAGGUCUUCGGAUCGUAAAACUCUGUUAUUAGGGAAGAAAAAAUGUGUAAGUACCUAUGCACGUCUUGACGGUACCUAAUCAGAAAGCCACGGCUAACUACGUG